rnacentral:ncRNA from 1 species
UUUUUCAGGGUGGGGUGAAAUUCCCCGACCGGCGGUAUAGUCCGCGAGCCGAAAGGUUGAACCGUUGAAACUACGGUACCGACAGUAAAGUCUGGAUGGAAGAAAAG